rnacentral:rRNA from 1 species
GACGAACGCUGGCGGCGUGCUUAACACAUGCAAGUCGAACGGAAAGGCCCUGCUUUUGUGGGGUGCUCGAGUGGCGAACGGGUGAGUAACACGUGAGUAACCUGCCCUUGACUUUGGGAUAACUUCAGGAAACUGGGGCUAAUACCGGAUAGGAGCUCCUGCUGCAUGGUGGGGGUUGGAAAGUUUCGGCGGUUGGGGAUGGACUCGCGGCUUAUCAGCUUGUUGGUGGGGUAGUGGCUUACCAAGGCUUUGACGGGUAGCCGGCCUGAGAGGGGGGCCGGCCACAUUGGGACUGAGAGACGGCGCAGACUGCUACGGGAGGCAGCAGUGGGGAAUAUUGCACAAUGGGCGGACGCCUGAGGCAGCAACGCCGCGUGCGGGAUGACGGCCUUCGGGGUGUAAACCGCUUUGGCCUGUGACGAAGCGGGAGUGACGGUAAUGGGUAAAGAAGCACCGGCUAACUACGUG